UUGAUUGGUGCUUGCAUCAUGAUUUACAUUUGAGUGAGUGGCGAACUGGUGAGUAACACGUGGGAAACCUGCCCAGAAGCGGGGGAUAACACCUGGAAACAGAUGCUAAUACCGCAUAACAACUUGGACCGCAUGGUCCGAGCUUGAAAGAUGGCUUCGGCUAUCACUUUUGGAUGGUCCCGCGGCGUAUUAGCUAGAUGGUGGGGUAACGGCUCACCAUGGCAAUGAUACGUAGCCGACCUGAGAGGGUAAUCGGCCACAUUGGGACUGAGACACGGCCCAAACUCCUACGGGAGGCAGCAGUAGGGAAUCUUCCACAAUGGACGAAAGUCUGAUGGAGCAACGCCGCGUGAGUGAAGAAGGGUUUCGGCUCGUAAAACUCUGUUGUUAAAGAAGAACAUAUCUGAGAGUAACUGUUCAGGUAUUGACGGUAUUUAACCAGAAAGCCACGGCUAACUACGUGCCAGCAGCCGCGGUAAUACGUAGGUGGCAAGCGUUGUCCGGAUUUAUUGGGCGUAAAGCGAGCGCAGGCGGUUUUUUAAGUCUGAUGUGAAAGCCUUCGGCUCAACCGAAGAAGUGCAUCGGAAACUGGGAAACUUGAGUGCAGAAGAGGACAGUGGAACUCCAUGUGUAGCGGUGAAAUGCGUAGAUAUAUGGAAGAACACCAGUGGCGAAGGCGGCUGUCUGGUCUGUAACUGACGCUGAGGCUCGAAAGUAUGGGUAGCAAACAGGAUUAGAUACCCUGGUAGUCCAUACCGUAAACGAUGAAUGCUAAGUGUUGGAGGGUUUCCGCCCUUCAGUGCUGCAGCUAACGCAUUAAGCAUUCCGCCUGGGGAGUACGGCCGCAAGGCUGAAACUCAAAGGAAUUGACGGGGGCCCGCACAAGCGGUGGAGCAUGUGGUUUAAUUCGAAGCUACGCGAAGAACCUUACCAGGUCUUGACAUACUAUGCAAAUCUAAGAGAUUAGACGUUCCCUUCGGGGACAUGGAUACAGGUGGUGCAUGGUUGUCGUCAGCUCGUGUCGUGAGAUGUUGGGUUAAGUCCCGCAACGAGCGCAACCCUUAUUAUCAGUUGCCAGCAUUAAGUUGGGCACUCUGGUGAGACUGCCGGUGACAAACCGGAGGAAGGUGGGGAUGACGUCAAAUCAUCAUGCCCCUUAUGACCUGGGCUACACACGUGCUACAAUGGAUGGUACAACGAGUUGCGAACUCGCGAGAGUAAGCUAAUCUCUUAAAGCCAUUCUCAGUUCGGAUUGUAGGCUGCAACUCGCCUACAUGAAGUCGGAAUCGCUAGUAAUCGCGGAUCAGCAUGCCGCGGUGAAUACGUUCCCGGGCCUUGUACACACCGCCCGUCACACCAUGAGAGUUUGUAACACCCAAAGUCGGU
rnacentral:rRNA from 2 species